rnacentral:rRNA from 1 species
GGGGUGAAAUCCCGGGGCUCAACCCCGGAACUGCCUUUAAUACUGCCGAUCUUGAGUACAGACGAGGUUGGAGGAAUUGAAGAUGUAGCGGUGAAAUGCAUAGAUAUCUUCAAGAACACCGAUUGCGUAGGCAGCUAACUAGGCUGUAACUGACGCUGAGGCACGAAAGCGUGGGGAGCGAA